AGUGAACGCUGGCGGUAGGCCUAACACAUGCAAGUCGAACGGCAGCACAGUAAGUGCUUGCUCCUAGGGGUGGCGAGUGGCGGACGGGUGGGGAAUAAAUCGGAAUCUACUUUUGCGUGGGGGUGAACGUAGGGAACCUAACGCGGAUACGGCACACGACCUGUGUGUUAAAUCAGGGGAUCUUUGGAUCUUGCGCGAUUGAGUGAGCUGUUUUCGGAUUAGCUAGUUGGCGGGGUAAAGGCGCACCAAUGCGACGAUCCGUAGCUGGUGUGAGAGGAUGAACAGCCACACUGGAACUGAGACACGAUCCAGACUCCUACGGACGGCAGAGGUGGGGAAUAUAGGAAGAUGGGGGCAAGCCUGAUCCAGCCGUACCGCGUGGAUGAAGCAGGCCUUCGGGUUGUAAAGCCCUUUUGUUGUGAAAGAAAAGUAGCAGGUUAAUACCCCGCUGUUCUGACGGUACCCAAAGAAUAAGCACCGGCUAACUUCGUG
rnacentral:rRNA from 1 species